AUCGACCAAAAAUUCCAGCAUAAAAGCCAGAGGUUAAGAAAUUUAGGAGUCUUUUAGUAAUGAAAUGCUGUAGACUUCAAUUUUCUUUUAUCUCUGGUGAAAAAAUCAACUACCCGGUACUUCCA
rnacentral:precursor_RNA from 10 species